AGGAGUUCGACAAAGUAUGCAAAAAAUGUGUGUAAAAUGCACAUAUUUCAAAAUGGCCGACUUCCUGUUGGGCGGAGUCAAUCAUUCCAAUACUAAAAACGUGUCUUAUGAUGUCUCUUGUGUUUUUACCAAGUUUCAUGAUUUUUCAAUCAUCUGUUUUAUGACCGUGUCAUGGUUUCACUUUGGUCUAGUGUUGCGUCUCCAUUAAAUUAAUUGUCCGCCAUUACGUCAUCGUUUCAGCUAUCGACUAUUCCUUCGCAAUUUAUCACCAUGUAUGUCUGGAGCCUAUCCACACCAAAUUUAGAGGUAAUAUGACAAAGACUCUAGGAGGAGUUUGAAUGAGUUCGUGAAAAAUGUGUAAAAAUUCCACAAAUUUCAAAAUGGCCGACUUCCUGUUGGGCAGAGCUAGUACGAGCCAAUGGGUAAUAUGUGCGGGAUGAUAGUUUCUAUGUUGCUGCCAAAAAUCGAGAAUAUUGGAGAAAUUUUGAGACAGCUACAGGUAAUUUAAUGGCCUAAACAAAAUAGGGGGCGCUGUAGAGUCCUCUAGCUACACAUGAGAAAAACGACAAAAUAUUCCUAAAUCAUUUCAAAGACUUAUUGAAUCUGCCAAUUAUCAAGAGGCUGAGAGCUUUUCAUAAAUAUGAUAUAAAAUAGGUGGCGCUAGAGAGCUGAUGAAAGACGAAUUUACGAAAUUCCAACUUACGGUCAAAGUUUGGCCUAAGCCAAAUAGCUCUGUAAAAUUUUAGGAGUUUUCAAACAUCCUAACCCCUCCGAAACCCAGCGGGAAACUUUUUAUUUUGCAACUUCCUGUCAAAAUGGCCGACUUCCUGUUGGGCGGAGUCAAAUCCAACCUAGUGAUUCUUGUUGUUUAUGAGGAGGUCAAUGAGCGUACCAAAGUUGGUGCACGUUGGACAAACUUCAUCCCGGCCACUGCCGACGUUUGGGGGCGCUAUAGAGCUCCUGAACAACGCCAAAGUCCAGCCUCUAUGGAACUUUACAAUUUUCGCCGAGCUUGAGGUCUGUGCCAAAAUGCGUGAGUUUUCGAGUAUCGGAAAUGCCUCAAAAAUGGACGCAAAGAGGCAGAAUAAUAAUAACGAGUUGUCCCCCUGUCACAGGGGGACGUAGGGCCCUCGCACAACAGCGCAAAUCGUACCGGGCCAAACCGAGAAACCGGUAAAAGUAAUUUUAAGGUCUUAUUGAGUGUGCCAAUUUUCAAGAGUUUUCUAUCCUGUUAAACAUGUGAAAUAUCCAUUUAAAAUACAGGUGGCGCUAUGGCGCUGUUAAAAUACAUGUAUUUGAAAUUCUAAUUCUACAUCAAACAACAGCCUUAGAUAAGCAGGCUGGUCAAAUUUUGUGAGUUUUUCUCCGUUAUAACUUCCUCAAAACACCUGGCAUUACCUAGGUUUUCACCUCCUGUUUUGAUGUGGGAUCUCAAAAAUUCAACCAUCUGCCAUUUCGUCCUCGUUUGAGAUAUCGACUAUUCCUUCACAAUUUAUCAUCAGAUAUGUUCAAUGUUUAUUUUUACCAAAUACCAAGAGAAUUCAUCAAAUUUGCUAGGAGUAGUUUGACAAUGUACACAAAAAAUGUUUGUAAAAUGCAGAUAUUUCAAAAUGGCCGACUUCCUGUUGGGCGGAGUCAGUCCUACCAAUGCUGAAAAUGUGUGUAAUGAUGUCUUUUGUGUUUUUGCCAAGUUUCAUGAAUUUUCAAUAAUCUGUUUUCUGACCAUGUCAUGGUUUCACUUUGGUUUAGUGUUGCGUCUCUAGUGACUCAAUUGCUCGCCAUUGGGUCACCGUUUUACCGAUCAACUAAUCCUUUGGCAAUUAUCAUCAAAUAUGUCUGUUGUUCAUUUACAGCGAAAUAAGAGGUAAUCUGACAAAGACUUUAGGAGCAGUUUAAAUUAGUUUGUGAAAAAUU